AGCGAACGCUGGCGGCAGGCCUAACACAUGCAAGUCGAACGGACCCUUCGGGGUUAGUGGCGGACGGGUGAGUAACACGUGGGAACGUGCCUUUAGGUUCGGAAUAGCUCCUGGAAACGGGUGGUAAUGCCGAAUGUGCCCUUCGGGGGAAAGAUUUAUCGCCUUUAGAGCGGCCCGCGUCUGAUUAGCUAGUUGGUGAGGUAACGGCUCACCAAGGCGACGAUCGGUAGCUGGUCUGAGAGGAUGACCAGCCACACUGGGACUGAGACACGGCGCAGACUCCUGCGGGAGGCAGCAGUGGGGAAUCUUGCGCAAUGGGCGAAAGCCUGACGCAGCCAUGCCGCGUGAAUGAUGAAGGUCUUAGGAUUGUAAAAUUCUUUCACCGGGGACGAUAAUGACGGUACCCGGAGAAGAAGCCCCGGCUAACUUCGUGCCAGCCGCCGCGGUAA
rnacentral:rRNA from 1 species